AGCGAACGCUGGCGGCGUGCUUAACACAUGCAAGUCGAACGUGAAAUGUAGCAAUACAGAGUAAAGUGGCGUACGGGUGAGUAACACGUGGGUAAUCUACCAAAGUGUCUGGAAUAACCGAUCGAAAGGUUGGCUAAUACUGGAUAGUUCAAGCUUGUUAUAAUGGCAAGAUUGGGAAAGGGAGCUGGCAACAGCCUUCGCAUUUUGAUGAGCUCGCGUCUGAUUAGCUAGUUGUAAGGUAAUGGCUUACCAAGGCUGAGAUCAGUAGCUGGUCUGAGAGGAUGAUCAGCCACACUGGAACUGAAACACGGUCCAGACUCCUACGGGAGGCAGCAGUGGGGAAUCUUGCGCAAUGGACGAAAGUCUGACGCAGCCACGCCGCGUGAGUGAAGAAGGCCU
rnacentral:rRNA from 1 species